AGAUUGUUGCAGACCAAGUACACCCUUUCAUGGCAAUUGUGUUCCCUGAUAACAGUGACCUAUUUCAGCAGGAUAAUGCAAAAAUAGUUCAGGAAUGGUUUGAGGAACAUGACAAAGAGCUCAAGGUGUUGCCUUGUCCUCCAAAUUCUCCAAAUCUCAUUCCGACUGAGAAUCUGUGGGAUGUGUUGGAACAACAAAUCCGAUCCAUGGAAGCCCCACCUCACAACUUGCAG